rnacentral:rRNA from 1 species
UACGGAGGAUGCAAGCGUUAUCCGGAAUGAUUGGGCGUAAAGCGUCCGCAGGUGGCUGUGUAAGUCUGCUGUUAAAGAGUCUAGCUCAACUAGAUACAAGCAGUGGAAACCACACGGCUAGAGUACGUUCGGGGCAGAGGGAAUUCCUGGUGUAGCGGUGAAAUGCGUAGAGAUCAGGAAGAACACCGGUGGCGAAGGCGCUCUGCUAGGCCGUAACUGACACUGAGGGACGAAAGCUAGGGGAGCGAAUGGG